AUGACGAGAUCAGGUGCCUUCAAACUCAGCAUUGUCUUCUUUCUCACCUUAAUCCUGUGUCUACCAGAGUUUUUUCCAGAAAUAUCUCAAGUUGAGUUUAUCUGUGAGCUGUUUGACCCUUGCACUCCUGAAAAUGAUGCACAGGUGUGUACUCCAGAUGACCCUCCAUGUGCGACAGAAAUGAUAAAUGCCAGCAGUCAACAUACACAUGGUGGAGGCUGGUAUCUGUGUAAGACUGAAAUGGAUCUGGAGCUUCUCUAUAACAACACCUCAGAGUCAGGUGGAAUGUUUUUUUUAUUAUAUUAUAUUAUAUUAUUGUCUACAGUGAUAACCAAUAAUAGUAACUCUGUGCAUGUUGUAAAUUUCAUAGGAAAGCAAGUGAUGGUGGUACUGGCAAUGAAGGCAGGCAAUCUCUCUGGAUGGAACAUUAGUGUGUUUGCGUUUCUCAACAACACUGAUCUGUACACUGGACCCCAAAAUGACCAGAGACUCUUCUCCUGCAACCUCCCACCAGACGACAGCAAAUGUCCCGAUCUAAACAUAUCUAUGCAUGAAAACACCAGCACUCCAAUACAAGACACCUCGAUUUUAAAAACCAUAACUUCCGCAAACCCAGCCAACUAUUCGCUUAAAACAACUACACUAUCUUUCCAAGCAACAGCUUCUACGGAUGGGCUGAAGUGCCAAACAAGCAGCAGCAGUUUCCUCUUUUACUACCAAGAGCAAAAUGAAACAGCAAGAUCAGCUGCAUUACAAGCGACGCAAACAAGAAAAAAUGGCCGGUGGUGUGUGAUCACUUCGGUGUGGUUGGCUCUGGUACUGACUGUGCUUGUGGUGACACUAGUGAGUGUGGGCAGUCUGAUCUUCAAGAGCAGAAAACGUAGAAAGUCCAAUUUGGCCACAUUUGUGUCUGUUUCAGCCAGUGGACAUCAGUGCAAAGAGCUCAAGAAACAAAAAGGAAAUUUAAUGAGAGAUGCCCCUGAUGUGUCCAUAGCAAUGUGCAGCAUAAGUGAUGGUGGUGUAUUCUCUCAGAUCUCUUCAGUGGAGAACAGAACAGACGAACACCAUAUGAAAGUUGCUGAUCUCAAGAGAAGAUUGUCACCAGUCUAUGAGAUUACAGAGACCUCAUUAGAUGAAGAAGAGAAAAGUGAAGAUGAGGAAGAGGGGCAAUGUAAUGUCUCAAUAACAAAGGAAGGUAAACAUAUAGCUAUAAACUGUGUGCACUUCAUGAAAAUGAAAAUUAUAAUAAAGUAUUGUUUUCCUCUUUAUAAUGGUGAUAAUUUAUUAGUUUGGAUAAAAAAAAAUAUUUAA
ensembl:lncRNA